GGGCCAGUAGCUCAAUGGUUAGAGCAUUCGGCUUAUAUCCGAACGGUUGUAGGUUCGAGUCCUACCUGGCCCA
rnacentral:tRNA from 1 species